UUCAAACAUUAACUGUUCAUUAUCUUACAACCUAAACAGCUCCAGUUGUCCUAUCUAUUUGGAAGCAAUCUUUAUAGCACUAUACAAAUGAAAACAAAUACUGGAGAUCACUGUUGAGAAUUGCAUUGUUUCCAGAGCAUGGUUCUGUCCUUCCUUCCAAGCUCAGGAAAACAUGCUGGUAGUUAAUCACACUGUGAAUGUCACCCUCCUGCUUCUUUUAUAUUUGCACAUCUAAGGUUCCAGAUUUCAAGACUCAGUAACUUCUUCAGCUCAAAUGAACACUCGAUGAGAAAAGAUGGUAUUUUUACUGUCAGAGUGAUGGAGCACUGGAACAGCCUGCCCAGAGAAGUUGUGGAGUUUUCUACUCUGGAGAUAUCCGAGACCCAUCUGAACGCCUACCUGUGUGACCUGAUGAAGGGAAUGUGCUUUAGCAGGGUGUUAUACAGGAUCAUCUCUUGAGGUGCCUUCCAACUCCUGCGAUUCCGUGAUUCUGUGAUUAGUGUCCCAGCAGUAUGCUGGACAAUGAUAUUGAUUUUGUAACAAAACGUGUAAAAUUCAGUGAGAACAUGCUGAAAGCUUAAAGAAAAAAAAAAAAAAAAAACAACAACCUCAUACAGAGAUUUCUGUGUAGCCAGUAGGUAGACUGGAAUACAUAGAGAUGUUUUUUGUAGACAUUGGCUGGGUAGAGUGCCUUUGAGACAGCUGAGGGGACAGAGUUAAAAUUGUAGAGUUAAAGGGAGAAAUUCUGCUCUCGGAUGUGUUUGCAACUCCCACUACAGUCUAAAAAAAUUAUGCAUGUAACUGACAGGAUAAUUAGGCAUAAAGCAGACAUUAAUUAAUUCAUUUGGCAUUAACAACAGGUACUCAUUUUUGAUAGUUCACACAAGGCUGAGGAGAUCCCAGAUUCUCAGAACUGGGUGAGUUACAUUAGUUAACAGUUCUGACUACAAGUUACGAAGACAGAAAUUAUCAGAGGGACCUGACAUACCUUAUGAUGGAGAUGAACCGAAAACCCCAGAAACUGUUGCUUUCAGUAUCCUUCCAUUCUGUUGUAGCUAUCCAGUGUUAUGGAAGGAACUAUUCAUUUCCUUAAACAUGUUUUUAAAAACCCCAUGGCAUAAAUUUGGUUCUGUGAAAUGCAGUUAAUGAACUGUGCACAAUGAUUUUCUGUUAGAUCUUGGCCUUCCCUAUUAUUUAAUUGGCAAUUAGCUCAACAUACCACACUGCAUGCACUGCUGAUGUUACCAGGUAACCAGGACAGAAAGUACUUUUUCUGAAAGGAGUAAAAGGGUAUAUGACAUUCCAUCACUGGAAGGGGUGUCUGAAAAUCCAUCACUACCGGCACUUGGCAAAGACUAAUGAAGGCUAACAGAUCACGAAAACAGCCUCAAUAGGGAAUAUCCUGCCAAAGGUCACAGUGAUGCUGCAUGAAAGGAGAGGACUGAAAAAAGCUUAAAAAAAUGACCACAGCAUUCUUCAGAUUUCUUGGCUCCAGUCUACUUAUACACUACGCAGCUUUUACUCUUAUUAUUUCUACCUCCUUUAAAUUAGGAUUUAAAUGUGAUGUAAUCAUUCAUAUUUGCAGUGUUUCUAAUGGCAGUAUAACAAGAGGGAAUAAAAAAGAAAGGACCAGUAUGUUGGCUGUUUCUUCUUUUUCUGCAUCAAUAAGACCACUAUGGGUUCAGACCAUAACCAGAAUUCUCAGCCAAGUCAGCCUCAGUGAAUGUUGGACUUUGAAAGUGUCAGGAGAAGCUGCCCAAUUUACCACUCUGUUAUUAUACCUUCCGCAUAAGGAUACACAGCUCUAAAAUUGAAGCAGCACUGACUUAAGACUACGUCCUAUCUGGUACAAUUUUAACAUUUGUUUUUAAAAUCAUUUUAAAGAGAAUUCUGUGGGACUGGCAAUGCUAUUUCAUGAGUUAGAAGACAGCAGCUUAUUUUAUGCACUGUAUGGGCUCAGGCUUUUUUUUUUUUUUUUUUCCUCCCAGGUAAAGAAUUAAAGGGAACAAUCUGUCCCAAUGUCUCAAAGUAGAUAAGAGUAACGGAUGUAUAUAACUACUGCACAUCCCUGCGGUGAUGCAGCUGCUGCUUUUGUGUUACUAACGGAUCCUUCUGUUGUCAGAAAAGGAAUUUCCAGCCUUUUUUCAACAGGUGGCAGGCAAAAAUAAAUUGCAAAUACUUGAGUUGGCCUAACAGGGAGCUGAUUACCAUUUCAGCUGAACGGCAACACUUGAAAAGACAAGAAAGAAAAAAUAUGACAGAAAAUGUCAGAAUGAUGACAGAAAACUUACAAAUUUGGACAAAAAGGAAAAAUGGACUCAAUGUUGAAAAUAAGAGAAGCCUCAAAAUAAAACUAGGAUAGCCUUCUCAUAGUUGUUCCAUCUUCCUUUCUUUUCUUUUGCAUUUGAAUUUGAUGGACGUAAAUGCAAAGACUACGCUCUGUGGAUUUGGUCCAUUGGUCUUUUCUGGUAUCUUAACAAAACACACUUUGCCUCUGGCAAGUUAUUCCAAUUCAUUAUUUCAGUGAGCUGGGUUUUAAUGGCACGCUGCUUCUUAUUCAGCUGGAAUUAUUGGCAAGAACAUGGAAGGAAGCAAGGGUGGAAAAGGGAAGGAGAUAAAGGGAAGGCUGAGUCAUCCCUCCAGUUAUAAAACCUUCCAUAACUUGCCUGCAAGAGGGAAGACUACUGAUCUCAGGAAGCAGGGGCAAAGAAAAAAGGGGUAAACAUGGGAUUUGGCUUAAUAAUAUGCUGCCUACUGUAUCAAACUGGAUUAGAUACAGCUUGUUUCCUGUUCAGAUUUCUCAAGCCUUUUUUCACACUGCCUUGUGCCAAAUGAGAGAGUUGGCUCUUGCUGUUCCAUAAAUGUGGUUUUGGUAGAAUGGUACAGCAUUAGAACAAAGCUGCCAAUAGCACAGUUCUGAAGGUGAACCUCAGCAUAUGGUAUCACCCCUCUGGAGAUUGUUCAUAAACUGCCCCUCAGUACCUCAACUGGGUGAACAACGACAUGCAGAUGACAAAGAUGCCCAGAUGCAAUUCUUCUAUGUGUAACAGCUUAGAGCAAACAAACUUACUGAGUGUACGAGUGGCAGUAUUACUGGAAUACCAACAUUUUGUCCUUAAGAGUUUUCAGAAAACACAGUAGUCCAUAUGGUGUUAUUUGUUUUUGCAAUUUAUAGCAUAAGACACUUGAUCUGAAUUGAUCUGUAUGUAAAAAUGUAGUGGAGGGAAAUAUAACUGA